rnacentral:rRNA from 1 species
UACGAGGGGAGCGAGCGUUGUUCGGAUUGACUGGGCGUAAAGGGUGCGUAGGCGGUUCUUUAAGUGAGGUGUGAAAUCCCUGAGCUUAACUCAGGAAGUGCAUUUCAUACUGGAGAACUAGAGAUCAGAAGAGGAAACGGGAAUUCCUGGUGUAGAGGUGAAAUUCGUUGAUACCAGGAGGAACACCAAAGGCGAAGGCAAGUUUCUGGGCUGAAUCUGACGUUGAGGCACGAAAGCGUGGGGAGCAAACAGG